AAAACGGUCCUUUUAAGGGCCACCUAUAUUUUCGUGAUUGUAAACU
rfam:Octopus bimaculoides Scaffold260310_contig_1, whole genome shotgun sequence.